GAGUUUGGAGACGGAUAGAGCAAGGGCGAGGUCCAAUCCGGACAAGAUGGCCUCAUAUUCUGCUUCAUUGUUAGAGGCAGAGAAUCCCAGCCGGAUGGCUUGCUCCAAAUGUUCCCCAGUUGGGGACUGUAGUAGGAGCCCAACUCCAGAGCCUGAUGAGCGUGAGGCUCCGUCAACUCGCAGAGUCCACCAUUCUUGUUUACUUGAUUUGUGGUGUUGGCUGGGUCUUCGGGAAUAUUCUAGCACGAAGUCAGCCAUUACUUGGCCUUUCAUGGACAAUCUGGGUUGGAAUUCGAUUCCAAACUCGCUCAAUUCAAUGGCCCAUUGUAGCAUUCUCCCGGUUAAAUCUGGCUUGUGCAGAAUGUUGCGAAGGGGCUGGUCAGUUAGUACGAUCACUGGAUGAGCUUGGAAAUAAGGGCGGAGCUUCUGGGCAGCGCUUCGAAGGGCUAA
rnacentral:lncRNA from 1 species